rnacentral:rRNA from 1 species
CGGCGGACGGGUGAGUAACGCGUGGGUAACCUGCCUCAUACAGGGGGAUAACAGUUAGAAAUGACUGCUAAAACCGCAUAAGCGCACAUUGUCGAGUGACAGAGUGUGAAAAACUCCGGUGGUAUGAGAUGGACCCGCGUCUGAUUAGCUAGUUGGUGAGGUAACGGCCCACCAAGGCGACGAUCAGUAGCCGGCCUGAGAGGGCGACCGGCCACAUUGGGACUGAGACACGGCCCAAACUCCUACGGGAGGCAGCAG